CUCAUUCUCUCAUUGAAGACACUCAGCCGCAGAUCCCAAAAGAGAGACCAUCGUCUCCAUCUCUCUCUCAUUCUAAAAAAAAAUCCCAGCGCCUCACCCCACCUUUCUAAUCUACAAAAGCCUCACUCACCCCAAAAGCAAAAGAGCCGCAUACACAAACGGAAAAACACACAAAAAAAAGAGGCAAAAGGAAAAAUCACACAAAAACGAAAGAGGAAGGCAGAGAACAAAUCACACACAUACACAAGAUCUUGUUCCUUCUAAAGGCUUUUCCCCAUUUCUGUUUCUGUCAUCGAUUGCGUGCCAAGACGAGGAGCUGUAUCAAUAAUUCUUCAUCCAAUGUCUUGGCUGCUUAGCAUAUAAAAUUAGAUUAUAACUUGGUCAUGUGUAAAGCCUUUCAGCUAAUGAAGCUCAUCCAAACCCAAUUAUUUCACCAAAGUUCUUGGAAGCUAUUUUUUUAAGAUGUCGGCCAAGCUCUCUAUUUGAGCACUUCAAGGUGUUCUGUUGCGUCGUCGGUCCGGAGUUCCAAUUAAUACCUCGUUUGAGCAUUGCUAUUUCUUUGGUAUUAGCUUUCUUUGUAUGCAGUAAAAAGAUCCAGGUACCGUUCAGUGUUAGAGACUUUAGUAGCUAUCAUUCAUCACUCGGAGACACGAGGUAGAUCUGCUGGCGUCUGCAGAAUUCCUGGAGUCUUCUCUUAGUUUUAUAGAGACUGUUUAUUUUACUCAAAAUAGACACAUUAUUUCUUUUAGCCCAUUAUAUGUAGUAUUAUUAAAAGUUCAUGAAUUGUGACACCAGACUCUAGGGCAGUCUUAGAGUUAUAUAUUUAGUUUGUGGCUUGGUUUAUUUAUUCGUUUAUUAUUUUAUUCAUGAAGUUAUUGAUGGAAA